UACGAAGGGGGCUAGCGUUGCUCGGAAUUACUGGGCGUAAAGCGCACGUAGGCGGCUUUCUAAGUCGGGGGUGAAAUCCUGGAGCUCAACUCCAGAACUGCCUUCGAUACUGGAGAGCUUGAGUCCGGGAGAGGUGAGUGGAACUGCGAGUGUAGAGGUGAAAUCGGUAGAAUUAUUCGCAAGAACACCAGGUGGCGAAAGGCG
rnacentral:rRNA from 1 species